GAAAAGAUAAGCUAAGUUUUAAGCUUAUGGGCUCAUACCCCAUCUAUGAAGUUGUCUUCUCUUUUUA
rnacentral:tRNA from 1 species